AACUAAAACGGACAUCUCUUUUAAAAACGGUCUACAGCAAUGUUGCUCCAUUGUUACAAUAAACAUGCUGCCAACCCCCAACUGAAAAUAGAACGUUCCUCGUCAAUACCUUGACAUUUGACCCCACGCUAAUUACAAUGACUAUUGGACUGUGUGGUGACAACAGUAUGAACUCUUUGUCGCUGAUGAUGGUGUCAAGCAUCCGCAGGAGCCCGAUACCCUGUAAAACAUGUUGUUACUUAGCAGACUCGUCCACUGACUGGGUAAAAACCACCCUCCCUGCAGAGCGUUUAAGAGGCGCCCUCUCGCUGGCAUGCUCAGGGCUACAACCCAAAUGACAGCUGACAGCGGUUAGAAAAAAGCAGACUUACUCACCACCCUCCCUCGGGAAAUGACUGCUUCAAGACUGGUGAGCCCAUCGAAUAACGCGAAUCCCAGCAGGUUCAUUCCUACGUCUCUGGAUGCAUGGGAUCAUGACAAGUUGACAAAUGUAAUAUGACGCCAAGGGGCAGCACAAUCACAAUUGAAGGUCACUAACCGUGGCUCUCUAUAAUGAAGUCGAGAUGAACAUCAGCUUCUUUUAUUGCUUAAAUUCAGCAAGUCACGGAGACGGGGGCAUCUUGAGCAAAUGUCGUCUCAUGUCACCGACGAGAGGUCUUUACUGGGAUUGUUACGAUAUGAUCCUGAUAGAAGUUGGAAGAAGCUCCCAGGAUGGUACUACGUACCAUUACAAAGAAGGUAAAUGCUUUUUCCAGCGUUUGUUAGUGUAGACUAAAACUGUGUAAACUGUGUUUAUGGUCUAUCAGCAUAACUGCAGAAGCUAAGGCUGGGUUAGUAUGGAAUUUGUACAUGGUUAGAUUUGACCUAUCAACUUUAGGUUGUUUUCGCAAUAAACGUAGAAAUUCCAACUUUUUCAUCUCGUGUUCUGGACAUGCUAUGACCACGAAUUUUAGAUGGCAGAUAGCUUUCGUUACUCAAAUAUUCUCUACGAAUAGGUAUUGUUGACCAUGCAAAAGCAAUUUAUACCAGGAAUGUUUUAAGAUGGUGCUCUGAGUGGCAUAAUCUUUUCGCAGUAGAGAAGAGAACGUUAUGAUUUGCCAAAGUUAAUUUAAGUUGUACGAGACACAAAUGCAUCAUAGAAACAUGAUAGGAGAACCCCAGCCUACUGUAUUUCCAUCGGUACCCUAGGCCUGCUGUAGUCCAAACUUGGUGCCCUCUGAGUUUGGCUGUCAGAACUUG